AUGGCUCGUACUAAGCAGACUGCUCGUAAGUCCACUGGAGGAAAGGCUCCUAGGAAGCAGCUAGCCACCAAGGCUGCCCGUAAGUCUGCUCCCACAACUGGAGGAGUGAAGAAGCCUCACCAUUACCGCCCUGGAACUGUUGCUCUUCGUGAGAUCCGCAAGUACCAGAAGAGCACGGAGCUGCUCAUCAGGAAGCUUCCAUUCCAGAGGCUUGUUAGGGAGAUUGCCCAGGACUUCAAGGUGAUCAAUCAACUUGUGCACUACAUUGUGAUGCUCCUGUUGUGUCAACUCUUAUAG
rnacentral:rRNA from 1 species